rnacentral:rRNA from 1 species
UACGUAGGGUGCGAGCGUUGUCCGGAAUUAUUGGGCGUAAAGAGCUUGUAGGCGGUUUGUCGCGUCUGCUGUGAAAAUCCGGGGCUCAACCCCGGACUUGCAGUGGGUACGGGCAGACUAGAGUGCGGUAGGGGGAGAUUGGAAUUCCUGGUGUAGCGGUGGAAUGCGCAGAUAUCAGGAGGAACACCGAUGGCGAAGGCAGAAUCUCUGGGCCGUAACUGACGCUGAGGAGCGAAAGCAUGGGGAGCGAACAGG